AAUGAACGCUGGCGGCGUGCCUAACACAUGCAAGUCGAACGAGCUGUUUUGGUUUCGGCCAAGGCAGUUAGUGGCAGACGGGUGAGUAACGCGUGGAUAAUCUACCUUCGUGUGGGGGAUACCAUUCCGAAAGGGGUGUUAAUACCGCAUAACACGGUCAUGACUUUGGUUGAGAUCGUCAAAGCUAGGGCUCUGGGAAACUAGACCUGGUGCAUGAAGAGGAGUUCGCGUCAGAUUAGCUAGUUGGUGGGGUAAUGGCUCACCAAGGCAACGAUCUGUAGCCGGCCUGAGAGGGUGAUCGGCCACACUGGAACUGAGACACGGUCCAG
rnacentral:rRNA from 1 species